UGGCGAUGCGUCUUAAGCAUGCAAGUCGAGCGGGCUUAUUCGGGCAACUGGAUAAGUUAGCGGCGAACUGGUGAGUAACACGUAGGUAAUCUGCCGUGAAGUGGGGGAUAACCCAUGGAAACAUGGACUAAUACCGCAUAUACUCUUGCUACAUAAGUAGAGUAGAGGAAAGUUUUUUCGCUUCACGAUGAGCCUGCGGCCUAUUAGCCUGUUGGUAGGGUAAUGGCCUACCAAAGCUACGAUAGGUAGCCGACCUGAGAGGGUGACCGGCCACAUUGGGACUGAGAUACGGCCCAGACUCCUACGGGAGGCAGCAGCUGAGAAUCUUCCACAAUGGACGAAAGUCAUGACAUCGCGUGAGGGAUGAAGGCCUUCAAUUAUCGAAGAAGAGUGACAGUAGAUAAUGUAAGCAACUACCC
rnacentral:rRNA from 1 species